UACGAAGGGGGCGAGCGUUGUUCGGAAUUACUGGGCGUAAAGAGUGCGUAGGCGGUGAUCUAAGUUUGUCGUGAAAUCUCCCGGCUUAACUGGGAGGGUGCGGCGAAAACUGGAUUGCUUGAGUAUGGGAGAGGUAAGCGGAAUUCCUGGUGUAGCGGUGAAAUGCGUAGAUAUCGUAAGGAACGCCAGUGGCGAAAGCGAAUCUCUGGGCAGCAACUGACGCUGAGGCACGAAGGCCAGGGGAGCAAACGGG
rnacentral:rRNA from 1 species